rnacentral:rRNA from 1 species
UACAGAGGUCUCAAGCGUUGUUCGGAUUCAUUGGGCGUAAAGGGUGCGUAGGCGGCGCGGUAAGUCGGGUGUGAAAUUUCGAGGCUUAACUUCGAAACUGCAUUCGAUACUGCCGUGCUAGAGGACUGGAGAGGAGACUGGAAUUUACGGUGUAGCGGUGAAAUGCGUAGAUAUCAGGAGGAACACCGGUGGUGUAGACGGCUUUCUGGACCGUAACUGACGCUGAGACACGAAAGCGUGGGUAGCAAACAGG